AGAUGUUGAGUAUGAUCUGGCUAUGACACCUGUUACCCCAUUGAUCUCCACGGCUGAUUCAGUUGAUCUGAUUGACAAGGUGGGUGUCCCCUUCCUCCCUGACCACUCCAUGUGCAUCCCUCCAGAAGCUGUGCACUCAGUGGAAGAGGAUGAUCUUCCUCGAUAGAGGAGGAUCGUUCUUCUGUCAAGGGUAUAACAAGUAGCUGCGCUCCCCUGCUAGAACCUCCAAACAAGCUCUCAAGGUUCAAAUUAAAAAAUAAAAAGGAAUAGGAACAUAGCUCAGUGGUAAAGUAUCCCUGUGUUCAAUCCUUAG
ensembl:misc_RNA 7SK 7SK RNA